rnacentral:rRNA from 1 species
GACGAACGCUGGCGGCGUGCCUAAUACAUGCAAGUUGAGCGCUGAAGGUUGGUACUUGUACCAACUGGAUGAGCAGCGAACGGGUGAGUAACGCGUGGGGAAUCUGCCUUUGAGCGGGGGACAACAUUUGGAAACGAAUGCUAAUACCGCAUAAAAACUUUAAACACAAGUUUUAAGUUUGAAAGAUGCAAUUGCAUCACUCAAAGAUGAUCCCGCGUUGUAUUAGCUAGUUGGUGAGGUAAAGGCUCACCAAGGCGAUGAUACAUAGCCGACCCGAGAGGGUGAUCGGCCACAUUGGGACUGAGACACGGCCCAAACUCCUACGGGAGGCAGCAGUAGGGAAUCUUCGGCAAUGGACGAAAGUCUGACCGAGCAACGCCGCGUGAGUGAAGAAGGUUUUCGGAUCGUAAAACUCUGUUGGUAGAGAAGAACGUUGGUGAGAGUGGAAAGCUCAUCAAGUGACGGUAACUACCCAGAAAGGGACGGCUAACUACGCG